GCGUUCUGUAAGCCUGUGAAGGUGGCCUGUGAGGGUUGCUGGAGGUAUCAGAAGUGCGAAUGCUGACAUAAGUAACGAUAAAGCGGGUGAAAAGCCCGCUCGCCGGAAGACCAAGGGUUCCUGUCCAACGUUAAUCGGGGCAGGGUGAGUCGACCCCUAAGGCGAGGCCGAAAGGCGUAGUCGAUGGGAAACGGGUUAAUAUUCCCGUACUUGGUGUUACUGCGAAGGGGGGACGGAGAAGGCUAUGUUGGCCGGGCGACGGUUGUCCCGGUUUAAGCGUGUAGGUGUGUGUUCCAGGUAAAUCCGGUUCACUUUAACACUGAGGCGUGAUGACGAGGCACUACGGUGCUGAAGCAACAAAUGCCCUGCUUCCAGGAAAAGCCUCUAAGCAUCAGGUAACAUCAAAUCGUACCCCAAACCGACACAGGUGGUCAGGUAGAGAAUACCAAGGCGCUUGAGAGAACUCGGGUGAAGGAACUAGGCAAAAUGGUGCCGUAACUUCGGGAGAAGGCACGCUGACACGUAGGUGAAGUGAUUUACUCAUGGAGCUGAAGUCAGUCGAAGAUACCAGCUGGCUGCAACUGUUUAUUAAAAACACAGCACUGUGCAAACACGAAAGUGGACGUAUACGGUGUGACGCCUGCCCGGUGCCGGAAGGUUAAUUGAUGGGGUCAGCGCAAGCGAAGCUCCUGAUCGAAGCCCCGGUAAACGGCGGCCGUAACUAUAACGGUCCUAAGGUAGCGAAAUUCCUUGUCGGGUAAGUUCCGACCUGCACGAAUGGCGUAAUGAUGGCCAGGCUGUCUCCACCCGAGACUCAGUGAAAUUGAACUCGCUGUGAAGAUGCAGUGUACCCGCGGCAAGACGGAAAGACCCCGUGAACCUUUACUAUAGCUUGACACUGAACAUUGAGCCUUGAUGUGUAGGAUAGGUGGGAGGCUUUGAAGUGUGGACGCCAGUCUGCAUGGAGCCGGCCUUGAAAUACCACCCUUUAAUGUUUGAUGUUCUAACGUGGACCCGUGAUCCGGGUUGCGGACAGUGUCUGGUGGGUAGUUUGACUGGGGCGGUCUCCUCCUAAAGAGUAACGGAGGAGCACGAAGGUUGGCUAAUCCUGGUCGGACAUCAGGAGGUUAGUGCAAUGGCAUAAGCCAGCUUGACUGCGAGCGUGACGGCGCGAGCAGGUGCGAAAGCAGGUCAUAGUGAUCCGGUGGUUCUGAAUGGAAGGGCCAUCGCUCAACGGAUAAAAGGUACUCCGGGGAUAACAGGCUGAUACCGCCCAAGAGUUCAUAUCGACGGCGGUGUUUGGCACCUCGAUGUCGGCUCAUCACAUCCUGGGGCUGAAGUAGGUCCCAAGGGUAUGGCUGUUCGCCAUUUAAAGUGGUACGCGAGCUGGGUUUAGAACGUCGUGAGACAGUUCGGUCCCUAUCUGCCGUGGGCGCUGGAGAACUGAGGGGGGCUGCUCCUAGUACGAGAGGACCGGAGUGGACGCAUCACUGGUGUUCGGGUUGUCAUGCCAAUGGCACUGCCCGGUAGCUAAAUGCGGAAGAGAUAAGUGCUGAAAGCAUCUAAGCACGAAACUUGCCCCGAGAUGAGUUCUCCCUGAGACUUUAGGUCUCCUGAAGGAACGUUGAAGACGACGACGUUGAUAGGCCGGGUGUGUAAGCGCAGCGAUGCGUUGAGCUAACCGGUACUAAUGAACCGUGAGGCUUAACCUUACA
rnacentral:rRNA from 1 species